CCCUUCCGAGUAAUUGCCAAAGUGGGACGUGUCGCGUACAAACUGCUGCUACCUGAUUCUACUAGCAUCCACCCGGUGUUUCACGUCAGUCAACUCAAGAAGCAUAUCGGACCUCGGGCCAUUCCUUGUGCUGAUCUUCCGCUCGUUCGCUCUGAUGGUAUGAUCCAAACUGAACCUGUUCUGGUGUUAGACACUCGUCAGGUAGUUCGCAACAAUCUCUCCAUCGUCCAGUGGCUUGUGCAAUGGGCAAAUUUGCCGCCGGAUGAAGCUUCCUGGGAAGAUGCAGCGUUUAUCAAGAAAACCUUUCCAGCCUUCUUCAAGCAAACUAUCGACAAGUGGUGGGUACUACCACACCUGCAGAUUCAGUCCCAAGUUGUCGACCGUCUUCAGAUAACGGGCGGCCAAGAUUCAAGACAUUCUGGGGGUCCAACGGCUCACGAUGCUCGCCUGAUCACCAGAACGUUAUGUACUUUUACUGCCUCGUUUCAAUUGCCGGACUGUACCUUUUCACCGUGGCCAGCUGAGCAUACAAGCCAGCUACCCCUCUCUGUAAUGGCAUCGAUCAUCUCUGAGAAUUAUCUCUACCAAGCACAAUUAUACCUUUACAGCAAUACAAACCCUAGACGGGGCUCCUACUUCCCCCUUUUACUUGUGAGAUAUGCGUGA
rnacentral:rRNA from 1 species